rnacentral:rRNA from 1 species
AUUGAACGCUGGCGGCAUGCUCAACACAUGCAAGUCGAACGGCAGCAUGACAUAAUUUCGGUUAUGUUGAUGGCGAGUGGCGAACGGGUGAGUAACGCGAGGGAAUAUAUCUUGAAGAUUGGGAUAACUUGGGGAAACUCAAGCUAAUACCGGAUAAUGUCUGAGGACGAAAGCUGGGGACCUUCGGACCUGGCGCUUUAAGAUUAGCCUGCGUCCGAUUAGCUAGUUGGCGGGGUAAAGGCCUACCAAGGCGACGAUCGGUAGCUGGUCUGAGAGGAUGAUCAGCCACACUGGGACUGAGACACGGCCCAGACUCCUACGGGAGGCAGCAGUGGGGAAUAUUGGACAAUGGGGGCAACCCUGAUCCAGCAAUGCCGCGUGUGUGAAGAAGGCCUGAGGGUUGUAAAGCACUUUUGUUGGGGAGAAUGGUGUACUAGGUUAAGAGCUAGGUAUAUUGAUGUUACCCAAAGAAUAAGCACCGGCUAACUCCGUGCCAGCAGCCGCAGUAA